UACGUAGGGUGCGAGCGUUAAUCGGAAUUACUGGGCGUAAAGCGUGCGCAGGCGGUUAUGCAAGACAGAUGUGAAAUCCCCGGGCUUAACCUGGGAACUGCAUUUGUGACUGCAUAGCUAGAGUGUGUCAGAGGGGGGUAGAAUUCCACGUGUAGGCAGUGAAAUGCGUAGAUAUGUGGAGGAAUACCGAUGGCGAAGGCAGCCCCCUGGGAUAACACUGACGCCUCAUGCACGAAAGCGUGGGGAGCAAACAGGA
rnacentral:rRNA from 1 species